GUCUCUGGCCAUACCACCCUGAACGCGCUGAUCUCAUCUGAUCUCGGAAGCUAAGCAGGGUCGGGCCUGGUUAGUACUUGGAUGGGAGAUAAGGGCGAUGCUCAUGAAGGAAAAAACA
rnacentral:rRNA from 1 species